GUGGUUAAGUUACUAAGGGCACACGGUGGAUGCCUUGGCGCUAGGAGCCGAAGAAGGACGCAGCGAACUGCGAUAAGCCUCGGGGAGCGGUAAGCACGCUUUGAUCCGGGGAUCUCCGAAUGGGGAAACCCACCAUCUGUAAUGGGAUGGUAUCCAUCACUGAAUACAUAGGUGAUGAGAAGGCAGACCCGGUGAACUGAAACAUCUAAGUAGCCGGAGGAAGAGAAAACAAUAGUGAUUCCGUCAGUAGUGGCGAGCGAACGCGGAAGAGCCUAAACCGUCGGGUUUACCCGGCGGGGUUGUGGGGCGUCUCACAUGGAGUUACAAAAGACGCGCGUAGGUGAACAGCUUGGGAAAGCUGACCAUAGAGCGUGAUAGUCGCGUACCCUAAACGCGCGUCUCUCCGAGACCAACCCCGAGUAGCGCGGGACACGUGAAAUCCCGUGUGAAUCUGGCAGGACCAUCUGCUAAGGCUAAAUACUACCUAGCGACCGAUAGUGAACCAGUACCGUGAGGGAAAGGUGAAAAGCACCCCGGGAGGGGAGUGAAAUAGUACCUGAAACCGUGUGCUUACAAAUAGUCGGAGCCCGUUAAAAGGGUGACGGCGUGCCUUUUGUAGAAUGAACCGGCGAGUUACGGUAGCGUGCGAGGUUAAGUUGAAGAGACGGAGCCGCAGCGAAAGCGAGUCUGAAUAGGGCGAUAGUACGCUGCCGUAGACCCGAAACCGUGUGAUCUAGCCAUGUCCAGGGUGAAGGUAGGGUAACACCUACUGGAGGCCCGAACCCACGCACGUUGAAAAGUGCGGGGAUGAGGUGUGGCUAGCGGUGAAAUUCCAAUCGAACUCGGAGAUAGCUGGUUCUCCCCGAAAUAGCUUUAGGGCUAGCCUCGGAAUUUAGAGUCUUGGAGGUAGAGCACUGAUUGGACUAGGGGCCCUCAUCGGGUUACCGAAUUCAGUCAAACUCCGAAUGCCAAUGACUUAUGUCCGGGAGUCAGACGGUGAGUGCUAAGAUCCAUCGUCAAAAGGGAAACAGCCCAGACCAUCAGCUAAGGUCCCCAAGUAUACGUUAAGUGGGAAACGAUGUGGAGUUGCCCAGACAACCAGGAUGUUGGCUUAGAAGCAGCCACCAUUUAAAGAGUGCGUAAUAGCUCACUGGUCGAGUGACUCUGCGCGGAAAAUGUAACGGGGCUAAACGUAUCACCGAAGCUAUGGCAGUCCUUAC
rnacentral:rRNA from 1 species